UUAAAUUAUAUUUUUUAUAAUUAUCAAUUAACUUAUUUUAUUUUAUUUUUAAAAUGUUCCGGUUAUGUUUUACAAUACUCUUAAUUACGCUUUUAAUAAUUCAGUUGCAAAUGGUAGAAAGUUUUAAUUCAAAACGUGCUAAACGUACCGUAAAAGACAUAUUGGCAAAUUGUAAAUAUCUAAAGCACGACAGAACAUGCAUUAACAAUGAUAACAAACAAUUAGGAAGUCUAACGGAUAGAUUUUUAAAUACAAAUGUUAAACCACAACCAUUUAAAAAACAGACUAGUGCAGCUAAAACCAUCGAAAACGAGGACGAACCUUGGUAUAAGAUAUUUGGUUAAAUGAGCGUCAUUGAAAUUACAACAAAAAUUUUAUACUCAAUAUUUUGAAAACAGUUUGGCAAUAUGUUCGACAAUAGUUAUAAAUAAAAAAUAUAAUUAAACAAAUUA